AAUUGGAGGGCAAGUCUGGUGCCAGCAGCCGCGGUAAUUCCAGCUCCAAUAGCGUAUAUUAAAGUUGUUGCAGUUAAAAAGCUCGUAGUUGAAUUUCGGGGUCAGUAGAUUGGUCGUGCCACUGGUAUGUACUGGUCUUACUGGCUCCUCCUUCCUGAUGAACCGUAAUGCCAUUAAUUUGGUGUUGCGGGGAGACUGGACUGUUACUUUGAAAAAAUUAGAGUGUUUAAAGCAGGCUAACGCUUGAAUACAUUAGCAUGGAAUAAUGAAAUAGGACGUUCGAUCUUAUUUUGUUGGUUUCUAGGAUUGACGUAAUGAUUAAUAGGGAUAGUUGGGGGCAUUAGUAUUCAAUUGUCAGAGGUGAAAUUCUUGGAUUUAUUGAAGACUAACUACUGCGAAAGCAUUUGCCAAGGAUGUUUUCAUUAAUCAAGAACGAAAGUUAGGGGAUCGAAGACGAUCAGAUACCGUCGUAGUCUUAACCAUAAACUAUGCCGACUAGGGAUCGGAUGAUGUUAAUUUUUUAAUGACUCAUUCGGCGCCUUACGGGAAACCAAAGUGU
rnacentral:rRNA from 1 species